UGGCUCAUCUUCCUACUCAAGAUCACUUCU
rnacentral:piRNA from 1 species